CUGAAUAUGGUGGUGCUUGCAAUAGAGCUUCCCUUCGUGUGCGAUGUAAUUUGAGGGGCUAAUGGUGCAUCCUCCAUGACAGCACUUGAAGCAGCUUUUGUGAUACAUGGUGUUAUUGACAGUAACCUGCAGAUCUACAGCUGGUCAAGUAAAGGAAACUCCCAAAAAAUAAAUGAGAGAGUUGAUUAGAGUACAAAAUAGUACCCUUUCAAUUGGAUAGACUGUCUUGUUGCAUCCCACGCAUUUCUCUCUCGUGCCAGCAAAUGCGCUCGAGACUUUAAUAGCAUUCUGCCAAAAAUACAAUCAUGAUAAGCAACACCCAAUGUGGUAGUUGAUGACAAAGAAGGAGAUGAACGAUGCCAAAUACAUUAUAUGAAAC
rnacentral:sRNA from 1 species